GAAAAAAUAUUCGCGGUGAACCUUUAUUUACCGCUUUUAUUCCAGUUAAUUAGAAUUUGUCACCUAAUAAAAAAAAUUAAAUUUAUUUAAUUAUAAAAUCUUUUUUGACAGACGGAUAAGACCAUGUUUUACCUGAUUUAUGGGCGGGCGGAUAAAACCAUCACCGCCUGCCAUUGAACAUCUUAUCUGUCAUGACUAUUCUCCAUUCACUAGUCUUUUUGAAGAAGCGAGAGGAGGA
rnacentral:sRNA from 1 species